GGGCGAUUAGCUCAGCUGGUAGAGCGUCUCGUUUACACCGAGAAAGUCGGCGGUUCGAGUCCGUCAUCGCCCACCA
rnacentral:tRNA from 1 species